rnacentral:lncRNA from 1 species
CGAAAUGUCCUGAAUGUUUGGUCCUGAGCUUAGCCCGAAGCCCGAUCACAGGUCGGACCGCCAUUUUUCUGCUGAUGUCAAUCACCAAAUCAAGCUCCUCCUCUUGUUCAAGCACAAUUACUGUAUUCAACAUGAGCUUCCUUGCAACCAAAGCAAGCGAAAUGUACUCCGCAUCCUUGAACCCGUUGCAUACAAGUAAACCCUCACGGCUGCCUUUGCAGAGACAGCUCAUAGCUAGGAGGAGCUCAGGUUUGGACCCGGCUUCAAGACCGAACCGGAAACCCGACCCGAAUUUGACAAUAUCUUCUACAACGAACCUGUCCUGAUUGCAUUUCACAGGAUAAACACCUUGGUAGUGAGCUUCAUAACCUUGUGACUGAACCGCAUAAUC